rnacentral:tRNA from 1 species
UGUGGGGGCUGGGUUGGUAGAGUGCUUGCCUCGCGUAUAUGAGGCCCUGGGUUCAAUACCCAGUACCACAA